UUCUAUAUAGUAUAAGAAGAAAGUACAUUUACCUUCCAAGUAGAAAGUCUAAUUGUAUAGG
rnacentral:tRNA from 1 species